rnacentral:rRNA from 1 species
UACAGAGGGUGCAAGCGUUGUUCGGAAUUAUUGGGCGUAAAGGGCGCGUAGGCGGUGCCACAAGUCACCUGUGAAAUCUCCGGGCUUAACUCGGAGCCUGCAGGCGAAACUGUGGUGCUGGAGUGUGGGAGAGGUGCGUGGAAUUCCCGGUGUAGCGGUGAAAUGCGUAGAUAUCAGGAGGAACACCGGUGGUGUAGACGGCUUUCUGGACCGUAACUGACGCUGAGACACGAAAGCGUGGGUAGCAAACAGG